rnacentral:rRNA from 1 species
AUGAACGCUGGCGGCGUGCUUCACACAUGCAAGUCGAACGGUGAAGGCGGAGCUUGCUCUGCUGGAUCAGUGGCGAACGGGUGAGUAACACGUGAGCAAUCUGCCCCUGACUCUGGGAUAAGCGCUGGAAACGGCGUCUAAUACUGGAUACGAGCUGCGAAGGCAUCUUCAGCAGCUGGAAAGAAUUUCGGUCAGGGAUGAGCUCGCGGCCUAUCAGCUUGUUGGUGAGGUAAUGGCUCACCAAGGCGUCGACGGGUAGCCGGCCUGAGAGGGUGACCGGCCACACUGGGACUGAGACACGGCCCAGACUCCUACGGGAGGCAGCAGUGGGGAAUAUUGCACAAUGGGCGAAAGCCUGAUGCAGCAACGCCGCGUGAGGGACGACGGCCUUCGGGUUGUAAACCGCUUUUAGCAGGGAAGAAGCGAAAGUGACGGUACCUGCAGAAAAAGCGCCGGCUAACUACGU